rnacentral:misc_RNA from 1 species
CUGGAAGUUCGCACGACUCCCAAACCCCUGUGAACCUACCGUAACCGUUGCCUCGGCGGGCGGCCCCUGGGAGGGCCUGCGCCCCGGCGCUGCGCCCGCCGGCAGGUCCCCACUUACUAUUGUAUCUGCAGGUGGCCUCUCAGAGUCAAACUCCAAACAAGUCA